rnacentral:rRNA from 1 species
UACGUAGGCAGCAAGCGUUGUUCGGAAUUACUGGGCGUAAAGCGCGCGCAGGCGGUCUUCCAAGUCAGUGGUGAAAGCCUGGAGCUCAACUCCAGAACUGCCAUUGAAACUGUUGGACUUGAGUACGAGAGAGGUGAGUGGAAUUCCCAGUGUAGAGGUGAAAUUCGUAGAUAUUGGGAAGAACACCGGUGGCGAAGGCGGCUCACUGGCUCGUAACUGACGCUCAGGCGCGACAGCGUGGGGAUCAAACAGG